GCAUUGGUGGCUCAGUGGUAGAAUCCUCACCUUCCAUGUGAGAGACCUGGUUUGAUUCCUGGCCAGUGCA
rnacentral:tRNA from 1 species